CCUACGGGAGGCAGCAGUGAGGAAUAUUGGUCAAUGGCCGUAAGGCUGAACCAGCCAAGUAGCGUGAGGGAAGACUGCCCUAUGGGUUGUAAACCUCUUUUAUGCGGGGAUAAAGGUGUCCACGUGUGGAUGUUUGCAGGUACCGCAUGAAUAAGGACCGGCUAAUUCCGUGCCAGCAGCCGCGGUAAUACGGAAGGUCCGGGCGUUAUCCGGAUUUAUUGGGUUUAAAGGGAGCGUAGGCCGGUCUUUUAGCGUGCCGUGAAAUUUUGUGGCUCAACGAUGAGAGUGCGGCGCGUCCUGGGGACCUAGAGUGCGAGGACGGCAGGAGGAAUGGGUGGUGUAGCGGUGAAAUGCUGAGAGAUCACGAAGAA
rnacentral:rRNA from 1 species